AAGAGUUUAGGUGAAUUCUGUGAAGGCAAAAUUCAAAUAUUGCAUUUAAAAUAGAAGGACAGAUUCUUCUCUUCUCCCUUCACUUGUCUUAAGGUAGUAAGCAAUAUUCUGAAUCUCAGUAGAGACUGUUAACUUUACCCGUCCUGCUGGAAUACUGAAACAUCAAAGUAAUUUUCAAGGCUUAUUUUUUCCUUGAAAACAUCAUCAGGUAGAUACAGCUGGGUAAAAUGUAGACAGCACAAGCUUGAAAACUGUCCUCUCUGAAGCUCUGGCUGAAGGUGUUACAUUUCAGAUAAAUCUGUUGUGGAGUCCCAGGACUGGUUACUGUAGAUAGAGAAAAAUCUGUGAACCUAAUCUGUCACUUACUACCAGAAAGUAGUCUGUUAUGUUACUCAUGUUUACACGACCAUACCGUUACCAUUUACUCAGUCAUUGUUGUAGGGAGAUGCUGCAGUUUUGGAAGAAGCUUAUCUUUAAAACCUGGCUUCAGGUUUUACCUGGUACUGAGCUGGUAAGUAGCAAGCCAAGAUUUCAGCUUUUCUCGUCUAUGUGUAGGGAUGCAGAAGGUGACAGCCUGCUAGAGUCACCCACCUGCAGCACAGGCCAGGGCCUACUACUCUUCUGCCCAGCAGAGAAGAGGUGGAGCCAUCUGUUACAUCGCUCACGGCACCUGAGAGCAGGGGCUGCUAAAGGCAUUUGUAGAAUUAGAGCAAAUGCCAGUUCCUGCACUGCUGGCUCUGCCAUUGCAUUGCUUUCCUGAUGCUGUGCCAUCUCUCCUUUGUUUUCUGCUUGGCUUGCAUCGAGGCUAUAUGUCUAUUUUUUCUUUAGUGGUGUUGUUUUUUUUUCCCCCUCUCUUUCUGUGUACAGAGAUUGGUAGUGCCUUAGUCACUGAUUGAUGUGAAAAGGCUUCUUACAAAGAAGGAAGUUAGGAAAAUGUUGGAAAAUUAACAGUAGCAAAAUUGUAAGACCAGUAUUCCAGAUGCAUUCUUGAAUACUAAGAAAACCAAACAGAACGUGUUUUUUCAACCAAUCUGGAAGAUGAUCUUGUUGCUAAGAUACAUUACAGCAAUGACUCCUGACUAUAAGAAGGAAAGUUCAGUGACUUAGUGUUGUGCUUGUUGUUUUAUAUAGCACAAAGGUUGAAAGUGAAAUACGUUUUCAAGGAACAAGUCUAGACUCAAGAAAAGGUGUAAAAUGAAUUUGUUAAACAUAAUUUAUAUCAUCUGAAAUUUAAAGAGGCUGUUGCACUGUUCUUAUGCUCAAUAUUUUCUUACAGAGAAGUUGUAAGUCACAAAGAACAACAAAGGAAUUGCUACACAUUGUCAUUUUCAGAUGCCUUCAUUACAAAGACUAGGAAGUCAAAGAUGGUUAGAAGAAAAACCUCUGUUCUCCUUGUAAUACUCAUUUUAAAUUUCUUUUUGUUUUUAGCCUUUCACUUGGUACUUUCUUUUAUGGCUGACCUCUGGUCAUCAUGGGUAUUUUAGUGCUUUCCUCAGUGUUGGAUAGUACUUUGUCAAGACAGCAAGCACUGUGUGAUACAUCCCUGCAGCAAGCACAAGCAGGCGCCAUGAGAAGGGCAGCGAUGAGGAAGUGAGCUCCCAGCCUCUUACAGGCUGUUCGUGUUGGUAUUUUAGGAGUAGCCAAGGUAGUAACACUUGGUUCCACCAAACCACACAACUCCAGGGCAGCCUUUCAGAUGGGCAUGCCGAUAACCAGCUGGCGACUUUUUGAGAAUUUUUUAGUAGGUGAGAAAUUCAUUGAAAAGUCAUGUUUUCUGGAAGAAAUAACUGAAUCUAUUGAUAGAAUUUCCUCACCAUACCAAGUAAACUUUGUAGAUUAAAACAAAACAAUUGUAUUAACUCUUAUCCUCGCCUAUAUCUUCCUAACUGAGGAGAAAGGAAGCACAGAGACAGGCACUACACUGAAAUGUGGAUACCCAUUCUUCUAAUGAAGAAGUGUUUCCGAAGUGCAGUGUGAUGGGCAUCAUCUCCCUUCAUAACAGCAAGGCCUCUGACCAUUUCAAAGUGGAUGACCUAUUGGUGAUAGACAGUGAGUGUCAUAAAGAAGGUCCUUGCGUUGCUCUCCUUGCCCCAGAAGGCUCUCAGUGGAAUUCCAAGAUGAGGGCCUUUUUGUCCACAGAAAAGAAGAAUGCAGAUCACAUGGGAAGAACUGCAUGUUCUGCAAGCUGCAGAAGAAUAGUUUUUGUCAGUUGAAAGAAACGCGUAUGUACCAGCUUAAAUUACACCACGUAAGUUCAUAUUAAUGGUAAUUUCCAUCAGUAGUCCUGUUAAUUUCUAAUGGGUUUAUGUGCUUUCCUAAAGACAGAUUCAGGUGCUUUCAAAGAGCCACAAAAUAUUAGAAAAUAAAAUAGAAGAUAUGAAAGCCAAGUACUGAACUGUGGAAAUAAAACCAUCUAAUAUCUGUCAGGGAGAACACAGCCAUAUGAUGGACUUCAUCCAGAGAACAGUUGAACACCUCUGUUUCAGUAACGAGGCACUUUAGUUUACAUGAGUUAAAUAAUCCUCUCCCCUUCCCUCCCUCUCUGCAAUUCAUUUCAGA